AUAGUAACUCCGCCUGUAGCUCUUAUAGGGUUGCUGCCGGUCCCAAGCCCGGGUAAAGGAGGAGGGUUGG
rnacentral:ribozyme from 1 species